AGAGCGAACGCUGGCGGAAUGCUUAACACAUGCAAGUCGCACGGCCAGCAAUGGCAGUGGCGGACGGGUGAGUAACGCGUAGGAAUAUGUCCAGAGGUGGGGGACAACCCCGGGAAACUGGGGCUAAUACCGCAUAUGAGCUGAGGCUCAAAGCAGUGAUGCGCCUUUGGAGUAGCCUGCGUCCGAUUAGCUUGUUGGUGGGGUAAUGGCCUACCAAGGCGACGAUCGGUAGCUGGUCUGAGAGGACGACCAGCCACACUGGGACUGAGACACGGCCCAGACUCCUACGGGAGGCAGCGAGUGGGGAAUCUUGCGCGAAUGGGCGAAAGCCUGACGCAGCAACGCCGCGUGCGGGAUGAAGGCCUUCGGGUCGUAAACCGUCUUUCGAGGAGGAACGAAAACGAGACGUACCUCAGAAGAACGCCCCGGACCAACUACGUACGCCAGCAGCCGGAC
rnacentral:rRNA from 1 species